rnacentral:tRNA from 2 species
GGGCCCUUAGCUCAGCGGUCAGAGCUGUCGGCUCAUAACCGAUUGGUCCCUGGUUCGAAUCCAGGAGGGCCCA